ACUGCCCCGGCGAUCUGGGCGCGGCCUCCGCCUGAGGCGGGAACAGCUUUGGCGACUGGGGCCGCCCCCUGCAGCCUCUGGGUGCGCGCAGUCCGGGACCCGCGGCGCGCGCCGAACAAGGACCAGCGGCGGGAGCCAACCGCGUCUUCCCGGCCCCUCCACGAUGUCCGAGGCCGAGCAGCCCGAGAGGGUGGCAGCCACGCGGCGGUGGAGAAUCACGUGAGGGGUGACCAAGUGCUGGGAAUUGGAAGUAGUUCUACAGUUGUCCGUACUGUGCAGUGAAUAGGGAGGACAAUAUUGUCCUGAGAGUCAUAUAGGAGACUCUUCCACGAGCCUUUGGCCAGAACUGUCUCAACUGCAAGGGACAUGGGACAGUGUAGUAUCCACCUGCUACUGAAGGAGGCUGUCUGCUCAGGAAAAGUUUCAGUGGUGUCAGUGAGCUUGGCCCUUCCCCUGGCCUGGGAAUGCUCCCCUUGUUCCAUACCACCCUGUCCCGGGGCC